rnacentral:piRNA from 1 species
UCCAGCAUCUUGCUGUCAUGACUUGCUUAGA